rnacentral:rRNA from 1 species
GUAGGGGGCAAGCGUUGUCCGGAUUUAUUGGGCGUAAAGAGCGUGUAGGCGGCCGCACAGGUCCGUUGUGAAAACUGGAGGCUUAACCUUCAGACGUCGAUGGAAACCGUGCGGCUAGAGUCCGGAAGAGGAGAAUGGAAUUCCUGGUGUAGCGGUGAAAUGCGCAGAUAUCAGGAAGAACACCCGUGGCUAAGGCGGUUCUCUAGUACGGUACUGACGCUGAGGCGCGAAAGCGUGGGGAGCGAACAGGAUUAGAUACCCUGGUAGUCCACGCCGUAAACGAUGGGUGCUAGGUGUGGGGGGGUGUCGACUCCCCCCGUGCCGAAGCUAACGCAUUAAGCACCCCGCCUGGGGAGUACGGCCGCAAGGCUA